UAAGCGACUAAGCGUACACGGUGGAUGCCCUGGCAGUCAGAGGCGAUGAAGGACGUGCUAAUCUGCGAAAAGCGUCGGUAAGGUGAUAUGAACCGUUAUAACCGGCGAUGUCCGAAUGGGGAAACCCAGUGCAAUUCGUUGCACUAUCGUUAACUGAAUACAUAGGUUAACGAGGCGAACCGGGGGAACUGAAACAUCUAAGUACCCCGAGGAAAAGAAAUCAACCGAGAUUCCCCCAGUAGCGGCGAGCGAACGGGGAGCAGCCCAGAGUCUGAAUCAGCUUGUGUGUUAGUGGAACGGUCUGGAAAGUCCGACGGUACAGGGUGAUAGUCCCGUACACCAAAAUGCACAGGUUGUGAACUCGAAGAGUAGGGCGGGACACGUGGUAUCCUGUCUGAAUAUGGGGGGACCAUCCUCCAAGGCUAAAUACUCCUGACUGACCGAUAGUGAACCAGUACCGUGAGGGAAAGGCGAAAAGAACCCCGGCGAGGGGAGUGAAAAAGAACCUGAAACCGUGUACGUACAAGCAGUGGGAGCACCUUCGGGUGUGACUGCGUACCUUUUGUAUAAUGGGUCAGCGACUUAUAUUCUGUAGCAAGGUUAACCGUAUAGGGGAGCCGCAGGGAAACCGAGUCUUAACUGGGCGUUAAGUUGCAGGGUAUAGACCCGAAACCCGGUGAUCUAGCCAUGGGCAGGUUGAAGGUUGGGUAACACUAACUGGAGGACCGAACCGACUAAUGUUGAAAAAUUAGCGGAUGACUUGUGGCUGGGGGUGAAAGGCCAAUCAAACCGGGAGAUAGCUGGUUCUCCCCGAAAGCUAUUUAGGUAGCGCCUCGUGAACUCAUCUUCGGGGGUAGAGCACUGUUUCGGCUAGGGGGUCAUCCCGACUUACCAACCCGAUGCAAACUACGAAUACCGAAGAAUGUUAUCACGGGAGACACACGGCGGGUGCUAACGUCCGUCGUGAAGAGGGAAACAACCCAGACCGCCAGCUAAGGUCCCAAAGUCAUGGUUAAGUGGGAAACGAUGUGGGAAGGCACAGACAGCCAGGAUGUUGGCUUAGAAGCAGCCAUCAUUUAAAGAAAGCGUAAUAGCUCACUGGUCGAGUCGGCCUGCGCGGAAGAUGUAACGGGGCUAAACCAUGCACCGAAGCUGCGGCAGCGACACUAUGUGUUGUUGGGUAGGGGAGCGUUCUGUAAGCCUGCGAAGGUGUGCUGUGAGGCAUGCUGGAGGUAUCAGAAGUGCGAAUGCUGACAUAAGUAACGAUAAAGCGGGUGAAAAGCCCGCUCGCCGGAAGACCAAGGGUUCCUGUCCAACGUUAAUCGGGGCAGGGUGAGUCGACCCCUAAGGCGAGGCCGAAAGGCGUAGUCGAUGGGAAACAGGUUAAUAUUCCUGUACUUGGUGUUACUGCGAAGGGGGGACGGAGAAGGCUAUGUUAGCCGGGCGACGGUUGUCCCGGUUUAAGCAUGUAGGCUGAUUGUCCAGGCAAAUCCGGAUAAUCAAGGCUGAGGUGUGAUGACGAGGCACUACGGUGCUGAAGUAACAAAUGCCCUGCUUCCAGGAAAAGCCUCUAAGCAUCAGGUAACAUUAAAUCGUACCCCAAACCGACACAGGUGGUCAGGUAGAGAAUACCAAGGCGCUUGAGAGAACUCGGGUGAAGGAACUAGGCAAAAUGGUGCCGUAACUUCGGGAGAAGGCACGCUGGUGUGUAGGUGAAGUCCCUGCGGAUGGAGCUGAGACCAGUCGAAGAUACCAGCUGGCUGCAACUGUUUAUUAAAAACACAGCACUGUGCAAACACGAAAGUGGACGUAUACGGUGUGACGCCUGCCCGGUGCCGGAAGGUUAAUUGAUGGGGUUAUCCGUAAGGAGAAGCUCUUGAUCGAAGCCCCGGUAAACGGCGGCCGUAACUAUAACGGUCCUAAGGUAGCGAAAUUCCUUGUCGGGUAAGUUCCGACCUGCACGAAUGGCGUAAUGAUGGCCAGGCUGUCUCCACCCGAGACUCAGUGAAAUUGAACUCGCUGUGAAGAUGCAGUGUACCCGCGGCAAGACGGAAAGACCCCGUGAACCUUUACUAUAGCUUGACACUGAACAUUGAGCCUUGAUGUGUAGGAUAGGUGGGAGGCUUUGAAGCGUGGACGCCAGUCUGCGUGGAGCCAACCUUGAAAUACCACCCUUUAAUGUUUGAUGUUCUAACGUUGGCCCCUGACCGGGGUUGCGGACAGUGUCUGGUGGGUAGUUUGACUGGGGCGGUCUCCUCCCAAAGCGUAACGGAGGAGCACGAAGGUUAGCUAAUCCUGGUCGGACAUCAGGAGGUUAGUGCAAUGGCAUAAGCUAGCUUGACUGCGAGCGUGACGGCGCGAGCAGGUGCGAAAGCAGGUCAUAGUGAUCCGGUGGUUCUGAAUGGAAGGGCCAUCGCUCAACGGAUAAAAGGUACUCCGGGGAUAACAGGCUGAUACCGCCCAAGAGUUCAUAUCGACGGCGGUGUUUGGCACCUCGAUGUCGGCUCAUCACAUCCUGGGGCUGAAGUAGGUCCCAAGGGUAUGGCUGUUCGCCAUUUAAAGUGGUACGCGAGCUGGGUUUAGAACGUCGUGAGACAGUUCGGUCCCUAUCUGCCGUGGGCGCUGGAGAAUUGAGGGGGGCUGCUCCUAGUACGAGAGGACCGGAGUGGACGCAUCACUGGUGUUCGGGUUGUCAUGCCAAUGGCACUGCCCGGUAGCUAAAUGCGGAAGAGAUAAGUGCUGAAAGCAUCUAAGCACGAAACUUGCCCCGAGAUGAGUUCUCCCUGAGACUUUAAGUCUCCUGAAGGAACGUUGAAGACGACGACGUUGAUAGGCCGGGUGUGUAAGCGCAGCGAUGCGUUGAGCUAACCGGUACUAAUGAACCGUGAGGCUUAACCU
rnacentral:rRNA from 1 species